AGGCGAUCUUCGCUGUUUCUCUGUGGAGGAAAUGCAGGAAGAAAUUAAGAACCUUAAACACAAGCUUGCUGCAUCUCAGAAAAGAGCAAAGUCUUUGGAGAGGGAGAAUGAGAACCUUCAUAAAGGUAUCGACAAAUACUUCAAUAAAGACCAGCUGCAAAGUCUUCACAAGUCUACAAUGCAAGGCACAGCAUGGCAAGAUGAAACACUAGUGAAAGCUUUGAAGUUGAGACUUUCUUGUGGAUCUCAAGGGUAUAGCGUUGUUCGAGAAUUAGCCAGCCCUCUUCCAACUGAACGCACAAUUCAACGAAGAAUUGAAGGAUUCAAGUUCACUCCUGGGAUCCUGACAGAAUUGUUCGACAUCUUAAAGAUUAAGUUUGCAGAUAAGUGUUCUAUCUGAGCAGGAGAGGCAUGCCGUGCUCAUGCUCGAUGAGAUUCAGCUAACCAAAGGAAUGGAUUUUGACCCCUCAACAGGUCGUAAAAUGGGAACUCCAACUGUGCCACCUACUAAAGGCAGUACAAGAGACAACGCUCUGGCAACACAUGGGCUCGUCUUUAUGCUUGGUGGUUUGUCAACACGGUGGAAACAGACUGUAGCUUAUGAGUUGACAGAGAGCAGCUUCCAUGCUGCCACGAUAAAAGCACAGAUUGUAGACAUCAUAGAUGCAUGUGAGCAGAUAGGCAUUAAAGUACAUGCUGUUAUAUC